rnacentral:rRNA from 1 species
AAACUUUCAACAACGGAUCUCUUGGUUCUGGCAUCGAUGAAGAACGCAGCGAAAUGCGAUAAGUAAUGUGAAUUGCAGAAUUCAGUGAAUCAUCGAAUCUUUGAACGCACAUUGCGCCCCUUGGUAUUCCGAGGGGCAUGCCUGU